UCUCCGUUGGUGAACCAGCGGAGGGAUCAUUACCGAGUUUACAACUCCCAAACCCCUAUGUGAACGUUACCAAACUGUUGCCUCGGCGGGAAAUUCAUGCUCCGGGCGCGCUGCAGCCCCGGACCAAGGCGCCCGCCGGAGGACCAACCAAAACUCUUUUGUAUGUCCCUCGCGGACUUUUAUGAUUCCGCACCAUCUCGGCCCCCCUAGCGGGCGUUUCGAAAAUGUAUCAAAACUUUCAACAACGGAUCUCUUGGUUCUG
rnacentral:misc_RNA from 1 species